UUGGCUGAAACCAAAUUAGAGGUGUAUCACUGUUAAUGAUAAUAUUGAAAUUUUCUUUUCCAGCCAAG
rnacentral:tRNA from 1 species